UUUCAAGUGGGCUUUAUUACUAUUAUAUCAUGGAAUUGGCCUUCUAUUGGUCCCUUAUGUUUUCUCAGUUUACAGACAUUAAAAGAAAGGACUUCCUGAUCAUGUUUGUGCAUCACUUGGUCACCAUUGGGCUUAUCUCCUUCUCCUACAUCAACAAUAUGGUUCGAGUGGGAACUCUGAUCAUGUGUCUACAUGAUGUCUCAGACUUCUUGCUGGAGGCAGCCAAACUGGCCAAUUAUGCCAAGUAUCAGCGGCUCUGUGACACCCUUUUUGUGAUCUUCAGUGCUGUUUUUAUGGUUACACGACUAGGAAUCUAUCCAUUCUGAACACAAGAACCCUAUUGCCCUGCUUUUACCUUAGCCUGUGCUGACCUUCUGUGGACUCUCACAGGACCUCUGCUGCCUCACACCGUAUUUCUAGCAAGGUCGGAUCCAGACUCAGAGUACCCGGCUUGGUUGGCUUCUCAGGACUGACUCAUCUCAGGAACAGUCCUCAUUUUAUGCCUAAGUAAUUCCUUUGACUUCUUUUGCACUG
rnacentral:sRNA from 1 species